UACGGAGGGUGCAAGCGUCAUCCGGAUUCACUGGGUUUAAAGGGUGCGUAGGAGGGUGUGUAAGUCAGUGGUGAAAUCUUCGAGCUUAACUCGGAAACUGCCGUUGAUACUACAUGUCUUGAAUACCGUGGAGGUGAGCGGAAUAUGUCAUGUAGCGGUGAAAUGCUUAGAUAUGACAUAGAACACCAAUUGCGAAGGCAGCUCACUACACGAAUAUUGACUCUGAGGCACGAAAGCGUGGGGAUCAAACAGG
rnacentral:rRNA from 1 species